AAAUUAAAUUCAUAAUAGACUUUUCAUUGAUCAAUCAAUGAUAACAUCAAUAAAAUUGUUACUUAGUGUACAAAUAAUGAGGUUAUGUAGAUUAUGCUUAUAUAUAGUGUCUAUCCAACGAGACGAGGCAGUAAACGUAAACAUUAUUUGACUGCUACAGAUUAUACAUACUUUAUCUACAAUCUACAUAUGUAUCUCUGUAUAUAUUAUUCGCAAUUGCAGAGUUAGGUUCAUUAUCGAAUAUUAAAUAGGAUAUGGAAUAUAUUUAUCAGAAAAAAGAUUAUUUUGCUGUAAACAUGGAGUAAAAAAUUCUACCGAAUUUAAUAAAUUUAGGAUCUGCUAGAACUAAACUUUAGUACAAUGUUAAGAAAUUAAAUUUGAUAUUCGUCUUAAAAUAGGAGUACUAUUAAAAUUACCGUUGAUGUUGCUAAACACUAUAACUCGGCCUAGAUCACUUCAGAAUCUUUAAAAAUUAU